rnacentral:rRNA from 1 species
ACUCCUACGGGAGGCAGCAGUGGGGAAUUUUGGACAAUGGGCGCAAGCCUGAUCCAGCAAUGCCGCGUGCAGGAAGAAGGCCUUCGGGUUGUAAACUGCUUUGUCAGGGAAGAAAUCCUCUGGGUUAAUACCUCGGGGGGAGUGACGGUACCUGAAGAAUAAGCACCGGCUAACUACGUGCCAGCAGCCGCGGUAAUACGUAGGGUGCGAGCGUUAAUCGGAAUUACUGGGCGUAAAGCGUGCGCAGGCGGUUGUGCAAGACAGGUGUGAAAUCCCCCGGGCUUAACCUGGGAACUGCACUUGUGACUGCACGGCUAGAGUACGGUAGAGGGGGAUGGAAUUCCGCGUGUAGCAGUGAAAUGCGUAGAUAUGCGGAGGAACACCGAUGGCGAAGGCAAUCCCCUGGACCUGUACUGACGCUCAUGCACGAAAGCGUGGGAGCAAACAGGAUUAGAUACCCCUGGUAGCGACUGA